rnacentral:misc_RNA from 1 species
GAAAUGCGAUAAGUAAUGUGAAUUGCAGAAUUCAGUGAAUCAUCGAAUCUUCGAACGCACAUUGCGCCCGCCAGUAUUCUGGCGGGCAUGCCUGUUCGAGCGUCAUUACAACCCUCAGGCCCCCGGGCCUGGCGUUGGGGAUCGGCGGAAGCCCCCUGCGGGCACAACGCCGUCCCCCAAAUACAGUGGCGGUCCCGCCGCAGCUUCCAUUGCGUAGUAGCUAACACCUCGCAACUGGAGAGCGGCGCGGCCACGCCGUAAAACACCCAACUUCUGAAUGUUGACCUCGAAUCAGGUAGGAAUACCCGCUGAACUUAAGC